AAUCAACGCUGGCGGCGUGCCUAACACAUGCAAGUCGAACGCGGUUAUUCAGCAAUGGAUAACUGAGUGGCGAACGGGUGAGUAACACGUGGGUGACCUACCUUCGAGUGGGGGAUAACGUCCCGAAAGGGACGCUAAUACCGCAUAACAUCCUGCCUUUGAACAGGUGGAGAUCAGAGCCGGGGAUCGCAAGACCUGGCGCUUGAUGAGGGGCCCGCGCCUGAUUAGCUAGUUGGUGGGGUAAUGGCUCACCAAGGCGACGAUCAGUAUCCGGCCUGAGAGGGCGGACGGACACACUGGGACUGAGACACGGCCCAGACUCCUACGGGAGGCAGCAGUGGGGAAUUGUUCGCAAUGGGCGCAAGCCUGACGACGCAACGCCGCGUGGAGGAUGAAGGUCUUCGGAUUGUAAACUCCUGUUGCUCGGGACGAAAAGCUUCGACCUAACACGUCGAAGUCUGACGGUACCGAGUGAGGAAGCCCCGGCUAACUCUGUGC
rnacentral:rRNA from 1 species